rnacentral:lncRNA from 1 species
CCACCAAAUUUAAGAUGCCAUUCUUCCUCAUGCACAAAAGAUUUUUACGUGAUGUUUUCUCCACACAAAAGAGCCUUCUACCCUCCCUUUCUCAUGUCCAAAAUUGGAUGUAAUCUGGUCUUUAUGGUAGGUUCAAAUAUGAUUUGAUUGGUUAUCAUAUGAAUAAUGUUUGACCUUUAUCUAUAAGACCUUGCCGCCCUUCCUUCUUUUCCUCUUAGUCUAUGUGAAAAUAUGGAGGAUUUCAUUGUGGGAAAUCAGAUAGGGAUC